rnacentral:rRNA from 1 species
UGAGUAACGCGUGAACAACCUGACCCAAAGAGGGGGAUAACAUUUGGAAACAGAUGCGUAAUACCGCAUAAGACCACAACGUCAACAUGGCGAAGGGGUCAAAGGAGCAAUCCGCUUUGGGAGGGUUCGCGUCCCAUUAGGUAGUAGGCGGGGUAACAGCCCACCUAGCCAACGAUGGGUAGCCGAGCUGACGAGGCUGAUCGGCCACACUGGAACUGAGACACGGUCCAGACUCCUACGGGAGGCAGCAGUGGGGAAUAUUGGGCAAUGGGCGCAAGCCUGACCCAAGCAACGCCGCGUGAGGGAAGAAGGUUUUCGGAUUGUAAACCUCUGUCGCAGAAGACGAAGGAAGUGACGGUAUUCUGUGAGGAAGCCCCGGCUAACUACGUGCCAGCAGCAGC